rnacentral:sRNA from 1 species
UACCAUAUGAGCUACACCCCCUGUUU